GGGCUGGGAGACACAGCAACAGACAAAGCAGAUCCCCACCGCCAUGAAGCUUGCACUGGCAUCUAAAAUAUUUAAAUCACAAACUCACCAAUGGAGUACAGGUAGUUAAAAAAGAAAAGAAUUCCAAGGAUUGAGCUGUGGAACUUUCCAGCACGUGGUGGUGAGAGUGAUGAAAAGUAAAGGACAAAAGAAAUUAAGAUACCAUUAAGAGAUACUUCUAAGGAGGGACAAUCCUAAGGAGAGCAGAAGAUAGAUGAUGCAUGACAGAGAGUGAAGAAUUGCUGGAGCAAGGUCAUUGAGAAGAUGUCUCUUUGGCAUGUAGAUUAUUUCAAGGUGAAAACAAUCAAGGCUCAAAAGACUCAGGAAGAAAUUUCAGCCUUCCUCCUAACUACGUAAAGAAUGAAGACAGAGGCCCUAUUUCAGGAAGGGAGCCAUUACCACAGAUGAAUGGCUGAAGUAUGAACUAGGCGUGGAGACAGGGAGGAAUUUAGGGAGGAGAAGGAUUAGAGACAAAGGGCAAAGUAUAGAGUAAAAUGAGUUUGACAAAAGUGAGAGAUGCUCAGUCGUGUCUGACUCUUUGUGACCCCAAGGACUAUACAGCCCAUGGAAUUCUCC